rnacentral:rRNA from 1 species
UAGGGAAUCUUCCACAAUGGACGCAAGUCUGAUGGAGCAACGCCGCGUGAGUGAAGAAGGUCUUCGGAUCGUAAAGCUCUGUUGUUGGUGAAGAAGGAUAGAGGCAGUAAAUGGUCUUUAUUUGACGGUAAUCAACCAGAAAGUCACGGCUAACUACGUGCCAGCAGCCGCGGUAAUACGUAGGUGGCAAGCGUUGUCCGGAUUUAUUGGGCGUAAAGCGAGCGCAGGCGAAUGAUAAGUCU